CUUGUUUUCUUUCCAUUAUUUUUUUAACCCUUCUGCAUUGGUUCUUAUUGGUGGUUUGUUGAACUUACAGGUUCCUCUUUGAUGAAUGACUAUGAAUGACUAAAAGAAAGCCAAGAGGCCGUUUAUCAAAGCCAGGCUCUGUUAUUGCAUGUGGAACCACUAGGGGGCACGUACACACGUACAUACACACACACACACACACACACACACACACACACACACACACACACACACACACACACACACACACACACACACACACACACACACACACACACACACACACACACACACACACACACACACACACACACACACACACACGCACGCACGCACACCGUGAGGACCCAGUCGGGUCUUUGACCCCGCCCCUGCUGUGUGUAUGCGUGUGUUUCUCUCCCUCCUACUUAGGAGAUUGUCUGCAGGUGUGGACGGACGGUGCCGCAGGAGCCUGGCCAGACAACAGACCGGCGGGGUAUACCUACUACGAACCUCGCUGAACAUACCCAGCCAUUCGACAGAGACGCAACUCACGAUCAGAGUUAAAUGGUACUACGAAGCUCACUUAGGAUUAGAGGGGUUUUAUAUGCGUCUGAAAAAAAAACCAGUACAGAAACAAUAGGGGCUAAGCAGCUUCGCUGCUCGGACCCCUAAUAAGGGCCGUUCAGGAUGCUGCCAAGUUACGGGUGCAAUGGAGACGGUGUCUCGCAGAGCGCUCAGAGAGCAGAUGUUCUCGUGUGGUAACAUCGCCCUCUGCUGUCCACAUCCGCUCACUACACACACAGGGACGCAAGAUCAUACGGGACUUGCUUUUCACCAACUUGACAUCAGUAACACACACACGCGCGCACACACACACUCAUGCACACAGUAAGGUGAAUUGAAUGAAGACUUUUUCGUUUUGAAGUAUGAAUCUAAAUCAGUCAAAUCAGACUCAUCCCUUUAAUUAAAAUGAGGGAGGUCAUAUAAGAUCAAACACAAAGCUGAAAUAGCCUCUCACUGUUACCAAGUGAGAACCUGCGUUGGGUUUCACUAAUUAGCUCACCUGCCGCAGCUCGCCUGCCUUUCUUAAUUAGUUAAUUGGUUGCAUCUGGUGCGUUUCACUUAAGAGGGAGCCGGACAGUACGUUGGAGUUCUCCACUGGCAGUGUAUCGUCUCCCAAACGCGGUUAAAGACUUUUUGAAGUAAGGAGGAGCAUCUCAUCUGAACCUGAUGUCUAGCAUGGAUAUUUAACUGCAGCUCUGUGAGUAUCCCAACUUGACCAUGAAGUUGAACUGCGAACUGUAAGUGAUUAGUUUCUCAUUACUCUUGGGCACAUUGAUGUACUUUGGCUUCCUGGCGAGUUAACCUGUUAGCUGAAGGUUGAUCUGAGAAGUGAGGAUGUUUUAUUGGUUCAUGGGUUACUGAGGUGUUUGUUUUAUGUUGGUUUUAAUGGUUUGUUAAAACGGUUACAGGUUCUAAGUUAUUGUUGUAAGCUGGAGUAAUGGGUUGGGUUCUGAUAUCUUCAGUCUUCUUUCCAGCUACUCUCCUGAGCUCUGCAUCUUCAUCACAUGAGUGUUGCUUUACUGAUGAGGUUGUGGUCUGAGUGAGCAGAGGUGCAUACUGGGAUACAGAGCUGUCUGAAGUCUACAUGUCUGUAGACGCGCCCCCUCAGGGGAAACCGAGUGUUUGAGAAACCGUCGUGAUGUCAGUUACCUGGACUAGAAUGUUCUUUAAGAUGGAGACAGGGAUUCAGAAGGAGAAACGCCAGGGGGAGAUGAGGGGGGCUCCUCAUCUCAACGACUGAAACACAACUACAGUCUGACACAGAGAACCAUGGAACACAUUCAACAGUCCCCUCCAGGCAUCGUGAAUCCUCAGGAACAGUUUCAUUUCCAAGAAGGUCUUAUUUGGGGCCAUCCCCAGAUGUAUCCUGCUCCUCAAGAGCCACCCCCCUCCACUGGGUGGUCUUCUGAACAGAUGACUUCCUUCCUGUCGUCAGGCUGACUAAAGCUGCACCGUUUGCAUCUGUGAAGGCCCCUCAUUCAGGAAACCACUGGACUACAAAGACAUGACUUCAGAGACGUUGAAUCAACCUUGGAGACGCCAAGAAUAAUCCAUCACCAAUGUGGGACGCCACUGAAGAAUGUUGUACAUAAUUUACGUCUCUGGAGACAUUGGUUGUUCUGUUCUGGGUGCCCUGGCAGGAGAGCUGGGGUUGGAUGAUGGAAUGUUCUUUGGCAUGAGGCUUUUACCCUGCAUGAUUGUUUGGCCUUUUAUGGCUCGGUGGUGUGUGGGUUUGACAUGAGAUGGAUGAUUUUUGAGCAUCUGGCAUGGGGUUCUACGUGUGUUUGGUUCCAAUUGGCAUGGGGUUCUACGUCCGUGUGUGUGUGUGUGUGUGUGUGUGUGUGUGUCCGGCUUGCUUUGACGGUGAUAAUGUUCAUACGGGGGUCUGUGUGGUUGGCUUGGGAUAUUGGAAUGGUCAACUAAAUCAUACCUGAUGGACGGCCACACGUUUACUUAAGGGCCUCCAGUAGACGUGAAGAGCCCUGAGCGACGCUCCGGAGCGAUAUCCAACACACUGGGCAGGAAGGAGAGUAUCCAACUCAAGUGUAAAAGGAUGCAAGCAGCGUGUUCAGAUCAGUGACUUCAAACUAGGACUACACCAAUCAGGAUCAAUGGAGGAUGGACACCUAAAGGAAUUCCACAAGGAGAGUCUGACGUUGGAAAUGGACCUAAAUGGAUAUUCAAGAUGACCGUCAGACCUGCAAGGAGGCGGCUCUUCAUACCUGGCUGGAUUGAUGGAGAGCCCUGUGGAUCUUGUCUCGCUCUCAGUUGCACGUCUUCGCAGGCUGAACUGUAUUUGUUUCGGACAGGACUAGCUGAACGAUUGGUUCUGAUUUAAGGGAACCAAUCGUGGGAACUCCAACUAGUGCGCUCUUCGAGCUGAAGUUGUGCUCUUCGGCUGAGGAGGUAAGGAAACCUUCACUGGGGCUUCAAGGUGUAAAGAGGACUGUUUCAAAGUGUUCCAUGGUACUCUGAUGAAGACCGUUGUUGUGUUCCACUGGCUGAGGGGAAGAACCCUCACAUCUUCCUCUUGGCCUUUCUCCUCUGAGAAUCCUGCCGCCAUCUUGAAGGAUAUUCUAGCGCAUGUAACUUAUGUCACGACACAUUCUCAAACACUUGGUUUCUCCUGAGGGGCUUGUCUAUAGAACUGAAGACGUCAGACAGCACUGUAUCCCAGCAUGCAUCUCUGCUCUCAGACCACACCCCCAUGAGUAGGAUGCAACACUAGCGAUGGAGAUGUAGAGUUUUAUAAGUAACGAGGGACAAGACAAAGGUGAUUAGAACACAAUGGCAUGUCAAGUCUGGAAAUCUUUAAACCAUGAAGAUGGUUGGAUAGUUCAGGAAUUGGGCUUUAUUUUAGUAUGGGCAGUCCUUAUUGAAUGAUUCCAUUGUUUUUAGGCAAGGAUUUGUUGUUGUGGGAUGUACAUGGUAGUUUGGUUCUUCGUACGGUUUUGAUUGAUAUAACUUGUACACACUGGGUGCAUAAUAAUUUAAAGGUACACUGAAUAGUAGUAAUGACCAACAGCAACAAACAGAUCUCCUCAAGGUAAGUCUGUUGGCUGUGUUUUCAUGAAGACCAUCACUGGACUUCAGGAUCUUCCUCCGUUCAGCUCAAGGUGAGGCGCUGGUUAUGUUUUUUCUUUGGUUGGUUCCGGCUGGAAUGUUCGGAUUCCAGUCGGACGGUUUGUGCUUCCCGCCGUGGAAGGUUUUGAGUGCGGUCACUUGAUUUAGUCCCAAUGGAUAGCAUAGAACGUUGUAGUCUUGACAACCAUUAGAAGCCACCUAGCAGUUAGUUGGAUAGGAAUCUGGCUGAACGUUCUGGAUUGUAUUUGCGUAACCUCGAGCCGUUGCCAACGGAAACUAUUUUUCAGUCGGUUUCCAUUGGGAAAUGUUUUCCCCUUAUCUUAAACAACUUAAGUUUGAUAUUAAAUACAUACUGACACGUACAAUCGUACAAUAUGUUGAUAAUUUCCGAUGGUUGCGGCGUACUUUUAACCACGUUAACGGGACUCUCGCUGCGUACGAAACGGCAUUCUACUUGCGGGCCCAUUUCUGACAUCAGUGAAGGCUGAAAAACAUUUCAAGGUGGAAGGCAAUUUGACAUUUCUUCAGCGGAACCCAGCACCUGAAUAUGGCGAGUAAAUUUGAUUUAAUAUCAAUACUACUUGGUGUUCUUUGUUACUUCUAUCUGCUGUCAUUAAUUGCCACAUAAGUUAAACCCUACCUAAUGGAAUGACGUUAAACAAUGACUUUGGUGCUGAGUUACCAACUGGAUAAUAUCAAAGCUAAAAUAAUGGCCGUCCUUCCCAUGUGUUACAGUAGAAGAUACUCUGUAUCUGUACAAGGUUAAAAAGGUAACAUGUAGUUUGUCCCAAGGUGUCCACCUCCUCACCCAGAGCCAGACCUCCACCUCCUCACAAGUCCUCCAGAACAGCUGAAAGGCGAGGCUGGGGACCGGAGGCUUGUGGUGCCAGGGUGGACCGGAGACUGAGGCUGGAGACCAGGGGCCUGCAGCACUGGACCAGAGGACCAGGAAUCCAUGGCUGAAGGAGCUGAUGGAGGAGCCGUGCUGAAGGAGCUGAUGGAGGAGCCGUGCUGAAGGCCCUGCCUGGUGGAGGAGCUGACGGAGGCCCUGCCUGGUGGAGGAUGUCUGUCGUGGGGUAGAUGGAGCCUGACUCUGAAACCAGGACUCUGUCUGAGGAGAGCUGAUGGAGGAGCUGAGACGCUGGAGGACGACUAGGAAUCGACCAACAAGGAUUCCUCGACGUGUUUCUGGAGCGGAGGCGAGCUGGUAGGGGAGCCAUGAAUCUGGAGGAUGACCAUGACUCUACCAACAAGGAUUACGUUGGGGCCAGACUUGCGCUGUUUGUUCCAGACCAGGACUCUGGGUGAGGAGAGCUGAUGGAGGAGCCAAGACUCUGGAGGACGACAUCACUCUACCAACAAGGAUCCUCGUAAGUUUGCAUUAAAGACAAAUUACAUUUGUAACCAGACAAGGAAUCUGGAGGACUGACGGAGAAGCCGUACAUCUGGAAGGCAAAUCCUGAGGACGACCAGGACUCUACCAUCAAGGAUUCCUCACACACCUGAGCUGAACCUCACCUGAUCCUGUUUGGUCGGGGGCAGACACACCUGAGCUGAACCCGCCCUGAUCCGGCCAUCCUGCUGGUCCCGUCUCCUCAGUUCAUCUGAGCCUCGUCCUCCAGAAGACCUGCUGAGCUCAGCAGUCUGAGGCUGAUGGAUCAAUGACCUCCAGUGGGAGUGAUCUUCUUGACCCCACAUACCAGGAAUCCAUGGCUGAUGAAGCUGAUGGAGGAGCCGUGCUGAAGGCCCUGCCUGGUGGAGGAGCUGAUGGAGGCCCUGCCUGGUGGAGGAGUCGUGCUGCAGGCCCUGCCUGGUGGAGGAGCUGAUGGAGGCCCUGCCGGGUGGAGGAGCCGUGCUGAAGGCCCUGCCUGGUGGAGGAGCCGUGCUGAAGGCCCUGCCUGGUGGAGGAGCCGUGCUGAAGGCCCUGCCUGGUGGAGGAGCUGGUGGAGGCCCUGCCUGGUGGAGGAGCUGGUGGAGGCCCUGUCUGGUGAAGGACGUCCGUCGUGGGACCAGGACUCUGUCUGAGGAGAGCUGCUGGAGGACGACUAGGAAUCGACCAACAAGGAUUCCUUAGACCAAUUACGUUUGUAACCAGACCAGGAAUCUGGAGGACUGAUGGAGAAGCCGUACACCUAGAAGGCAGAUCCUUAGGACGACCAGGACUCUACCAUUAAGGAUUCCUCACGCACCUGAGCUGAACCCGCCCUGAUCCUGACAUCCUGCUGGUCCCGUCUCCUCAGUUCAUCUGAGCCUCGUCCUCCAGAAGACCUGCUGAGCUCAGCGGUCUGAGGCUGAUGGAUCAAUGACCUCCAGUGGGAGUGAUCUUCUUGACCCCACAUGUAACCUUGUGCUUCCACACGCCUUUCCCUCACGUUUGUCACUAACCUCACUACUUCACUACUCUCUACUGCUUCCUCUUCUUCUUCCUUCUCUGUGGUUCGAACCUUUACACUGAAGGCGCGUCUUCCUGCCCUCAGAGGGUUUAGCGUUAGGGUUGAGAGUCAGGGUUUAGAGUCAGGGACAGAGCUGGUCAGGGAGGACUGCUUUUACACAAACCUCUUCACUUGCUUUCGGAAUGGUGGUGACAUUUUGAGAUUUGGGAAAAUGUUUUCAUCUG